UGGGGAAUAUUGGACAAUGGGGGCAACCCUGAUCCAGCAAUGCCGCGUGUGUGAAGAAGGUCUUCGGAUUGUAAAGCACUUUCGACGGGGACGAUGAUGACGGUACCCGUAGAAGAAGCCCCGGCUAACUUCGUGCCAGCAGCCGCGGUAAUACGAAGGGGGCUAGCGUUGCUCGGAAUGACUGGGCGUAAAGGGCGUGUAGGCGGUUUACACAGUCAGAUGUGAAAUCCCCGGGCUUAACCUGGGAGCUGCAUUUGAUAUGUGUAGACUAGAGUAUGAGAGAGGGUUGUGGAAUUCCCCAGUGUAGAGGUGAA
rnacentral:rRNA from 1 species